CUUCCCUCAAGCAAAGGACCUCCUGGCACAGGUCACUUGUCCCUGUGAUGAAGUUCACAGCAGAGCUGGAAUUUGAACUCUCUGCCCACAAUGUAUGACACAAAGGCCCAGGAAUGCGGCUUACACAGUCCUGACCCUACAGCUGGCCCUCCAUCCUCACUGCUCUCCCAGGAGAAGGUGGGAACUGGCUUCUUCAGCCAAGGACAAAGCCACGGUGGACAAUCGCAGGCCCAGGCCCAAGGUUUGCCCUCCCUCCUGCCUCCAUCUUUACAAAUCUCACUCAUGCAUGAUGCCAACUCCCCUCCUACUGAUGACUCCAUC
rnacentral:lncRNA from 1 species